rnacentral:rRNA from 1 species
GAUGAACGCUAGCGGCAGGCUUAAUACAUGCAAGUCGAGGGGCAGCACGAAUAGCAAUAUUUGGUGGCGACCGGCGCACGGGGUGCGUAACACGUAUACAACCUACCUAUAACAGGGGGAUAGCCUUUCGAAAGAGAGAUUAAUACCCCGUAAUAAAUUGAGUGGCAUCACUUGAUUUUGAAAGCUACGGCGGUUAUAGAUGGGUAUGCGUCUGAUUAGCUAGUUGGUGAGGUAACGGCUCACCAAGGCGACGAUCAGUAGGGGAUCUGAGAGGACUAACCCCANACUGGUACUGAGACACGGACCAGACUCCUAACGGGAGCAGCAGUAAGGAAUAUCGGUCAAAUGGAGGCAAACUCUGAACCAGCCAUGCCGCGUGCAGGAUGACGGCCCUAUGGGUUGUAAACUGCUUUUGUACCAGAG